GUGCUCGCUUCAGCAGUACGUAUACUAGAAUUGGAAUGAUACAGAGAAGAUUAGCGUGCCCCUGCACAAGGAUGACAUGCAAAUUCAUGAAGUGUUUCCUAUUUUU
rnacentral:snRNA from 1 species